AAUUGAUAAACUUGUACAUUGAAAACUAAUUUAAUUUCUGAUAAAAAAAAUUAAAGCAGAUGCAAAUAAAUGGAAAUGUCCCAUGUUUGGGGAUUGAAAGAAUAUUGUUAAAAUAUCCAUACUACCCAAAGUGAUCUAUGGAUUCAAUGAGGUUCCUAUCAAAAGCUCAAUGGCAUUCUUCAUAGAGGUAGAAAAAAAAAUUCUAGAAUUCAUAUGGAACUCCUUAUAACCAAAGUAAUAUUGAGCAAGAAGAACAAACCGGAGGCAUCACAUUUUCGAUUUCAAAAUACAUUACAAAGUUACUAUAUAAAGCUAUGAUACAAAAUAUAAUAAAAGUAAUCCAAAUAGUAUGUUACCAGCAAAUAAACAGAUAUAUAGACCAAUGGAACAGAAUAGAGAGCCUAGAAAUAAACCCACAUGCAUAUGGCUACCUGAUAUUCAUCAGGGGUGCCAAGAAUACACAAUGCAGAAAGAGUAGUCUCUUUAAUAAAUGGUGUUGGGAAAACUGGAAUCUGCAUGCAAAUAAUGAAAUUGGAGCCUUCCUACACCACACACAAAAGUGAACUUGAAAUGGAUUAGAGACUUAAUUUUAAGACAUGAAACUGUAAAACUCCUAGAAGAUAAUAAAGAGAAAAAGUCUUUCAAGACUGAUCUUAGAAAUGAUUUCUCAGAUUGACAUCAAAAGCAUAAGCAAAAAUAGACACAGGAGAUUAUACUAAACUAAAAAGCUUCUGCACAGCAAAGGAAGUCAUCAGUGAACUGAAAAGACAACCUAUGGAAUGGAAGAAAACAUUUGCAAUGCAUAUACCUGUAAAGGGUUAAUAUCCAAAAUAUAUAAAACUUAAAAGCAAAAAAAAAAUAUGAUGAUAUUAAAAAUGAGCAAAAGAACUGAAAAGAUAUUACUCCAAAGAAGACAUACAAAUGGACAACAGGUACAUUGAAAAAGUGCUCAACAUCAUUAAUCACUAGGGAAUUGCAAAUCAAACCAGAAUGAGUAUCACCUAAUAUCUAUUAGAAUGGCUAUUAUCAAAACAAUCCAAAAGAUAACAAAUGUUGUCAAGGAAAAAAAUGUGGAGAAAAGGGAACCCUUGUAUACUUUCAGUGGGAAUGUAAAUUGUUUCAGCCACUAUGGAGAACAGUAUAGAGGUCCCUCAAAAAAUUAAAAAUAGUGCUACCAUGGGGUCCAGCGAUUCUAUUUCUGGGUAUCUAUCAAAUGGAAUGAAAUCAGGGUAUCAAAAAUUAUUUUCAAUCCCAUGUUCAUUGCAGCAUUAUUCACAAUAGUCAACACAUGAAGCAAACUAAAUGUCUUAUCAGUGAAUGAAUGGGUAAAGAAAAUGUGGUGUAUAUAAACAAUGGACUAUUAUCCACACUAAAAAUGAAGGACAUCUGCUCUCUGUGACAACAUGGUUGGACCUGGAAGACAUUAUGCUAAGUGAAAGAAUCUGAACACAGAAGGACAAAUACUACAUGAUACCACUUAUAUGAGGAACCUAAAAUAGUUAAACUGAUAAAGGUAGAGAGUAGAAUGGUGUUCUGGGGUUGGGGGGAAGGGAAAAUGGGGAGGACAGUCAAAGGGUAUAAAUGAUUGGUUAUACAAGAUGGAAGUUCUAGAGAUCUACUUACAGUAUAGUUAGUAUUUCAUCCUUAAAAAUUUGCUAAAGGGAAAGAUCUUAGUUUUCUUACCACACACAAUAAAUAAAGAAGACAGGAAGAACUUUUGGGGGCAGUAGACAUGUUUACAGCAUAGAUUGUGGUAAUGGUUUCACAGGUGUGUACUUAUCUCCAAACUCAUCAAGUUGCAUAUAUAUAUAUAUAUAUAUAUAUACACACAUAUAUACAUAUAUAUAUGCAUGUAUCUACCUAUCUUUUUGCAUGUCAAUCAUACUUCAAUAAAGAUAUCAAUGGAACAAAAGACACACUGGCAAAUAGUCAUGUGAAUAGAAACAAAUUUCUUCAUGACCUCCCCUCCUCCUUGUGUUAAGAUUUAUAAACCUGGGCUUAGGAGAUGCACAACUUGCUUCUCUAUGAUGUAAAAUACAGAGUUGUGUGUGUGUGUGAGACUUUGGAGACCUUGGUCAAAUGACUUAUGUGUAGUGCUCAAUUUCCUCACCAAAAAUUCAGCAGAGUAAAUACACACAAUGCACAGGACAGCUGUGAGGGUCGUGUAAUAUCUGGCACAUAGAAGAGAUAUAACAUGGGCUUCCUACAACUGAGAGAUCAUAGCAGUUUAUAAGAAAGAAAGUGGACUUGAGACAGAUGGUAUGACACUGGUUAUACUUCUUUUUUCAGUUGAUCCCUUUAGGUCAACAGCCCAAGGAAAUGAUAAGCUGAAUUUAUGGUGGUACAUUCAUCCUUGAUUCAGAUAUGAACACAAUAUAAUUUCAAGUCUACUUGAUGGAACUACUUUUCUACAGAGAAAAAUAAAAGGUGAUUUCUGAAGUAUGGUUGACCACAAUAAUUCCUCCUGCGAUCCAGUACGGACACCCCAUUUAACCACACUCUACUGUGUAGUGCUCACUGGAGGCCUAGUGGGCAUUAUCUCCAUUCUGUUCCUGCUGGUGAAAAUGAACACCCGGUCUGUGACCACCACAGCAGUCGUUAACUUGGUGGUGGUCCACAGUGUUUUCCUGCUGACAGUGCCUUUUCGCUUGACCUACCUCAUCAAGCACACUUGGACAUUUGGGUUGCCCUUCUGUAAAUUUGUGAGCGCCAUGCUGCACAUCCACAUGUACCUUACUUUCCUGUUCUACGUGGUGAUCCUGGUCAUCAGGUACCUCAUCUUCUUCAAGCGCAAAGACAAAGUGGAAUUCUACAGAAAGCUGCAUGCAGUGGCUGCCAGCACUGGCCUGUGGGUGCUGGUGAUUGUCAUUGUGGUGCCCCUGGUUGUUUCUCAGUAUGGAACUUACAAGGUGUAUGAUAAGCAGCACUGUUUUAAAUUUCACAAAGAACUUGAUCGUGCAUAUGUGCAAGUCAUCAACUAUAUGAUAGCCAUUAUUUUUAUAGCCAUUGCAGUGAUUCUCUUGGUCUUCCAGAUCUUUAUCAUUAUUCCGAUGGUGCGGAAGCUGCGCCGCUCCCUACUAUCCCAUCAGGAGUUUUGGGCCCAAUUGAAAAACCUAUUUUUUAUAGGAGUCAUUCUAAUUUGCUUCCUUCCCUACCAAUUCUUUAGGAUCUAUUACUUAUACUCUGUGGCACAGUCAAGUGACUGUAACAACAAUGUUACAUUUUAUAAUGAAAUAUUCUUGAGUGUAACAGCAGUUAGCUGCUUUGACUUGCUGCUCUUUGUUCUUGGGGGAAGCCACUGGUUUAAGCAAAAGAUAAUUGACCUAUGGAAUUGCCUUUUGUGCAGUUAGCCACCAACUACAGUAUUCAGAAUUACUUCCUUUAUAUUGGGAGUGAAAAUAGACACAGCAGGUAGGAAUGGUUAUUUCAUUACUUGAUUAAAACCAUGCCUUGAUGCAGUUUAUCAAAAGGACUAUAAAAUGUAAUUAAUUCCAGUCCUUAUUUAAUCCAUACCAUCUCCAAAUGAUGCCUGUACAAAGACUAAUGAUAUUGAGCCUAUCUGGAGUUACAAUACUGCAUAAUUUUCCAAUACAAAAUGUCUACUUGGCCUAUCCAGGCACCAAGGGUCUAAAGGUUUCUAAGUUUUACUAAUUUAUUUUAGACUGGACUCAGCCCUCUAGUUCUUUUCAUUCCACUUAACUUUAGAUAAAUUAAUCCUGGCCAAGAUUUGGCUCAGAAAACACAAGCUCUAUUUGGCUUUCUAGAAAAGAUACCCAUUCAACUCACACCCUGAAAAAAGCAGUUAAGAGAGAAUAGUAAGAAACUUUUCUAGAUCAUCACAACUUUGGUGGGAAGUCGCUUCUCUAGAAAUCAAGAGAAAAAGAAUUCCUUGUGGCGUUCUGCUAUAACAAGGUUUUCUAGAUUUGUCCUAUAAAGGUCAAAUCUAAGGACAUGAGAUCAAUUCUCUCAGUAUCUCCAAAAAUCAUUCAAAAGCUUACUGAAUAUGUCUAAAUAAUGGUGAAGGUGUAACUUAGAAAAUAUUUCUGACCAAUAUGCUGCUAGGCAUUAAAAUGAGUUCCCAAGGGAAGUGAUUAAAUUUUUUUCCUUUUCUAUUUUUUCAAGAAUUUCUAGCUGUCUUGGGCCACAGUUAAUUUAGAUUUUCCUUGGAGACAGAAGGCUAUACUGAAAUAUUUAGAGUUCCCCUCCACCCUUAAAGUUAUGUGUCUUUAUUUCCCUCAAAGUUUCAUAAUCUUGAAGGAACUGAGCCAGUUUCAUUAUUUAAUGCUUCAGGAAACCUUAAGCAAUUCGUGGUAAUUUUAAAAGAUUAAAAUUAAUUAAGGUAACUUUUUUUUUCCCAAGCAAGGUAAACGUUCAAGAUCUAAAGAUUCUUCUUAAUUUGUUAUACUCUACGAUCCACAAAUUCAUCUGAUGAGUAAGAAAUCCCUCUGUGAGUUUCUAUAACCACUAAAAUUACUGAGUCAUAGAAAGUAAUUAUGAGGAAGAAAAAGCAGCAACAUGCUAUAUACAUGAACUAUUCCCAAAUUUUCCUGUUUUAAAUUUAUAUGUCCUGUUCUCUUUUUUAAGUUAUAUUUCUUUUAUUUCUUGUCUUCUUCUCCCAUUUUUUCUCAGUAUUUCUUUCUCACUUUGACCCAUAAUAUUUGUAAGAAAAUUUCUAACACCCAAAAAAGUUUUAAGAAAAUUUGUAACACUCUUGAAAUAUGUAAAAAAUUUAUAGUAAAAUAUUAAAAUUUUUAAUUAUUUAUGGGAAUUACAUAAACUUCUCUUCUUAUAUAUCUAUGUCUUACUAUCAUAACCUCUGUUACCUAAUAGAUUGUAUUAUAAUCUCUUCCAGAUUUUAAAUAUGUUGAAAUCAGGCAGUUAUUCUUUCCUCUGUUUUAUUAUGCAUUACAUAUAAUAAGGGCCUAUUUCUGUGGACCUAUAGGGGAUAUUACCCAGUACAUAGAUAUGCAAUAUUCCAUAAUGUAAAAUAUAUUAUUUAUCAAUACUUAUAGAAUAAAUGGAAAUUUUCAACUUGCCUUUUGUCUUUAAAUGCUAUGAAAAUGAAUCUCAUGCAGGAGUUGGGGUGACACUGGUCUCUCAGGCCACUUUUGGAUACCACAAUUUUAAGAGAGUAGUAUUAGUAUUUGGUGGCUGGGGCCUGAGACUAGAUAUUUUGUCUUGCAACAACUGUAUGCACAAUAAAGAAUUAUCAGGUCUUGCUCUUUAUUUGAAUGUUCUUCCAGACAUUUAUGAAAUGAAACAUGCUCAUGAUAAUAAAAGCAGUUGGCUAGGUUUUAUUCAGUUUUCAUAAAUGCAUAAUAUUUUCUUAGUUUGGCUUUAAUUUUCCAGAAAUAUAGCUUCCAUGGAUAUUGAGGAAAAAUGUUACUGUUUUUCUUAGAACUUUACCAAAGUUGUUCAUUCCUUUGUAAAAUAACAUUAUCAAUGGCAACACCAUUUGUGGCAUUAAAAUACAACACAACACGCCUGUGAACAAUAUUUGUAGUUGUUGUAGUCAGGUAGAUAUUAGAUAUAGAAGCUAACAUCAGACUACCUCAUUUGUCUCCUUUUGUGAUCAUGUCUGAGCAUGCAUACACUGAAACAUGUCUUAUUUUAUUGUAAAUUACUUUCUUUUUCAUUACUCAUUUAUAUUAGUUAGAAUAUUGUACAGCCUGUGUAUGUGUGUUGUGUGUCUGUGCAGGAGGGUUAUAUUUUCUGUGAAUUUUUAGAAUGGUAAAAGUGUUAUCAAAUACUUGCAAUGAAAUGCAAGGUAUUGGGGCUGCAAGGAUUGAGAACCACUAUGUCACCAUAAACAUGGUCAACUUAAGAGGGAUACCUACCAGUUAUAACAGUAUGAACAUGAAAAAUAUUCCUUUAUUUUGGGAAUACUUAACCUCAGCUUCAUUAAAUUCUGAAUUGCUUCUUUUGUUUCUGUCAUGAUCAAAAGAAUAAAUGCAAGUUUAAGGAAAAUGUACAGAAAAUACAUAUGUGUAUUUGCCUUUUUGAUAAGACAAAGACAUUUCCCUGAGCUUCACAACUCUUACAUUGGCUGAUAGUAUCCACCUGAUUUUGAUGGUCAAUAUCUACCAGGGGUAAUGACAAUUUUAAGGCCCAGGCAGAUUGUUUCUGGCAUCCAUUACAAGGUACUUUACUCAGCCUUUGUUCAUAAUUUACCUCUGAAAGGGUCAUUGCCCCAGCUUUCCUCCUCAACCUCAUAUAAAUUAGGGAGAAAGGGACUAUUUUACUUGUAGGUGAAUUGAGCUUUGUGAGGAAUGAUUCAAGCAGUGCUGAAAAUCCCCAAGUCCUCUUCAAUGGGGUUGCCGUUAGAGCUGUUUUCCUAAUACAGCAGUUCUGAAAGAGAGCAGAGGGCCAAUCUAUUCUCAGUCAUCAGCUUUUGAGGGGGGUGUCAGGAGGUGAAAAUUUGUGAGGCUGCCAUUUCUUAGAUUGGGUAGAUUUUGUCCACUUAAUCUUUAAUAAGAUGAGGCAUAGACCGUGGCCUCUCAUAUUGAGUGGGGCUGGUAGGAACAAGGAAACUCUCCUUGUAAUAGGGACUGACUACAGUACUUUGGAAAUAGUUGGUAAUAAAAACAUAUGUAUGGUAAAGGGACACAGUGAUGGUAGAUUUGUUUGGAUAAUGCUGAGAAAGCACAGGAUGCCAAAGGGCAUCUACAGACAUAAAAAAUAGGCAUCAGCCAGGGCCUGAGAAGGACUUUGAUCCUGGGUAUGGCUGAGCCCUAUCUCUGUAAUAGAACUAGCACGCUGGGCACCAAAACUCAGAAAAAUGAGCAAGUUUUAUUAUUUGAAGGGGUACACGUCAUCUAGAACUUCUAAGACUAGAAGAUGGGCCACUCAUAUCAAAAUGCACCCAGUGAAGCUUCAUCAUGGGCCACAUAAAAGCCCAUUGGUCACCAACAGGUACCACAUUUUGAGUAGGAUGAGCAGUGGUGAUCAGGAUUGGGAAGGCAGGGACAGAUGCUGAAAUGCUAAAAGCCUUAUGCUUCAGGCAGGAUGGACCUGGUAACCAGACCUGAGCCUUCAGAUUGAGAAAAAUCUGGAGAACCAGCAGGAACUGUUGGGGAUGGGAGACCAAGUCUGAGGACCACUAACGGAGAGGAGGAGGGGCUUGAGUGAGCCAUGGUUAGCAGUUCUAAGCAAGCAGGGGACAGCAGGAAGACAUCAAGCUCUUGGAAAGCAGACAGGAAAAUGAAGGCAACACACAAGGAAGACAUUUUGAACAGUAGAUGGAAAGAUGCAGGAGACUAUUGUUUGUUGUAUUUCAAGUGUGUCCUAGUAAUUUAUGUCAAUGAAUGGUUUCUUAAAAAUCUAAAAGCUUUUUCUCUAAGAUCAAGAACUGGAUAAGGAUGCCCACUCUCUCCACUUUUGUUCAACAUCAUAUUGGAAAUCUUCACCAGUGCAAUUAGGAAAGAAAAGAAAUAAAAGGCACCCAAAGUAAAAAGAAUGAAGUAAAACUGUUUCUUUUUGCAUAUGACAUGAAAUUAUACAUAGAAAACCCUAAAGACUCCACUUAA